CUCUUCUGUGGAGUGAAUCGGUAUCCAGUUCUAGGGUUAUUGUAGCGUACAAAUUCCCAAUUCUUCGAAGGGUCCCUGCAUCGAGGGUUUGAUUUUGUGUUUCCUCCCUCCCCUUCACCAACCAACCCCCGCCGCCGGCCGCCGCCACUCCUCCAGCCGUCGUCACCACGCCGCUUGUACCGCCCAGUUUAGUUUCUCCCCUCUCUCGCGCUGGCGUUUGCGUCCUACUCCCGCGGUCUCCUGCGGCGCCGCGUCUCUGAAGUCGGCGACGACGACCGUGCCCACCAAUCCAACGAACAGCUCUCCCCCCUCCCCUCCCCGCACCCUCGACGCCCGGCCGCCGUGCCUCUGUCGGGCGGGGUAGAAACGGGAGGAGUGGGCCGGUGAGGAGAUCCAGAUGCGCUAGCGAUGGCGCCGUCCGUCAGUCCAUGUCCCUCAGCAACCGUGCUGGCGACCUGGACACUUGGACAGGGAGAUGGAUGCACAGGAAGGCCAAUCAUACAAGUUUCGGCAGAGGCGGCCGCUUCGCCGCCGGCCAGCACGAGGGCCACACUGCGGAGUCGCUCUCCUGGCACUACUAGAUCUGAGGCUCUGAUGCUAGCACUUUCACCAGAUGAGUCUGAGAAAUCGCACUGGAUGUUGCUAGCAAUAUCUUCUGGAUGUUGCUGCCAGAUCAGAGAGUAUUGCUUUCGCAGUAGCUGUUAACCAGACUAUCAACGACGAUGCGCAGACAUGGAGCAGACUGGGGAUGAAAGGGGUGUGCGGAGUUCUCCCUGGGGUUUAGUGUGUGCGUGCUACCGCUUGGAUGAGCAAUCAUGUGUGCAUUCAUGUGCACGGAUUUUUCUUUAUCGACCCUAUCUAGCAAUGAAAUGAUACACAAGCCUUCUGCAUAUUUGCGAAAAUAUUUUGAAGUACUCGCUGCAAGUACAGCUCAUUCUUCAGUCAACUUUCAUUCCAUUAUGUCUUCUAAAGCAUGGUAUUUAGUAUGCUUUCUGCAUACCUUGUGAAUACUGAUAUUGCAUUUCACAGAAUGGGAGGAAGGUUUAUUUCUUUUAAUGUUCUUUUUCCUUGAGCUGUUGAAAGCAUAUCUAUUUAGACUGCAAGCUAAAAGAUCUGGUGUGUGUUUUUAUUUUCAGGCUGAUUAUGAUUAUAAGCUGUACAAUAGAUUGCGUUGUUUUUAUCAAAUGUUUGAACUCUCAGCUGUGAUGUUUCUGCAACGAAUUUGUAGGUCAAAUCAUUCAGGCACAGAGUAAUCUUCAGGGGGUGCUAUCUAGUGGUAAUCAAUAGCAACAUGAAAUGAAGAGCAGCCUUGCUGUGAUGACAGGAUUACCAUCCUUCAUGAGAGCAUACUAUCAUAUCAUGUCCUUUAUGCCAGCAUAUAAGGUUGUACGCACAAGCAUGAUAUCCUGAACAUGCUGUCCAUUAUGGACUUCAGCGCCAUACCUUGAUAUGGAUAUUUAUCACUUUGAUAUGGACAGAUUAAAGUUCAGCAAGUUUGCAGAAAGUUUGUUUGAGCAGCAGGGUAUAGCUAAUGCUACAUUGGACACUCUCUGCCUUCUCUCUUUUGCCAUUUAUGCGGCCAACUAUUGGAUCGAUCAUGCCAUCAGGCGUGAUAAAGUUAAAUCGAUUGAAUUCACUGAAAGUAGAAGAUGACAAGCUUUUUACUUAGACCCUCCAGUUAUCAACUUUGCAUCUUCAAAUCUGUGAAGUAUAAAGCUCAUUAAUGUUAUUUACAAGUUUCUUUGAUCAGCUCAGCACCGAAUGCCCAUCUUUGGAAAAUCUGCAGUUGGCAGACAACACACCUGAUUUUCCUGAGAUUUCACCAGUCAUUGAUGACUCUGGAAAUAAUAGAGGUUGCAUUCGAAAGAAUGACUCCAAGGUGCCCAAUGUUCAUCAAUCUGACAAGUCUCUCCCUUGGAGAAUGGUGUUUUUCCAACAAAUCUGCUCCUUUAGCUUGCUUCUUCGAGCACUCUCCUAUGCUUUAGAUUCUUGGUCUGAAGCUCAAGCCGAUUUACACAGCUAAGGGAAUGUCGUUUGAAGCCAGACACCUUAAGAAGGUAACGAUCCACUGCUGAAAAAGAGGACAGACUUCCCGUGCUGAAGGCUAUACUGCUUGCCGAUGCAAGAUCUCUCGGGCAUAUGGUGUCGACGUGAGGACAGACUAGACCGUUCCUGCUUUCCAUAGGAAGCUGAGCUCAUCGGUCUUCUGUAUGGAAUGCAUCUUAGCAUAGAGCUUUUGCUCCGGACAUGCGCGGGACUUAAUCUAGCUAGACAUUUGGUUGUUCAAUGUCGUACUGAAUCCCUGGCCUCUGUCCUGACAUGGACCUGUUAGCAUGUACUACUACUUGUGUGUGAGUUGUGAGAAACUAGCUCCCAUUUUAUCUUGGUUGAUGGAUGGACAUUGCAACUCA